rnacentral:rRNA from 1 species
GAUCCUGGCUCAGGACGAACGCUGGCGGCGUGCUUAACACAUGCAAGUCGAACGGAAAGGUCUCUUCGGAGAUACUCGAGUGGCGAACGGGUGAGUAACACGUGGGUAAUCUGCCCUGCACUUCGGGAUAAGCCUGGGAAACUGGGUCUAAUACCGGAUAGGACCUCAAGGCGCAUGCCUUUGUGGUGGAAAGCUUUUGCGGUGUGGGAUGGGCCCGCGGCCUAUCAGCUUGUUGGUGGGGUGACGGCCUACCAAGGCGACGACGGGUAGCCGGCCUGAGAGGGUGUCCGGCCACACUGGGACUGAGAUACGGCCCAGACUCCUACGGGAGGCAGCAGUGGGGAAUAUUGCACAAUGGCCCCAAGCCUGAUGAAGCGAUGCCGCGUGGGGGAUGACGGCCUUCGGGUUGUAAACCUCUUUCACCAUCGACGAAGGUUCGGGUUUUCUCGGAUUGACGGUAGGUGGAGAAGAAACACCGGCCAACUACGUGCCAGCAGCCGCGGUAAUACGUAGGGUGCGAGCGUUGUCCGGAAUUACUGGGCGUAAAGAGCUCGUAGGUGGUUUGUCGCGUUGUUCGUGAAAUCUCACGGCUUAACUGUGAGCGUGCGGGCGAUACGGGCAGACUGGAGUACUGCAGGGGAGACUGGAAUUCCUGGUGUAGCGGUGGAAUGCGCAGAUAUCAGGAGGAACACCGGUGGCGAAGGCGGGUCUCUGGGCAGUAACUGACGCUGAGGAGCGAAAGCGUGGGGAGCGAACAGGAUUAGAUACCCUGGUAGUCCACGCCGUAAACGGUGGGUACUAGGUGUGGGUUUCCUUCCUUGGGAUCCGUGCCGUAGCUAACGCAUUAAGUACCCCGCCUGGGGAGUACGGCCGCAAGGCUAAAACUCAAAGGAAUUGACGGGGGCCCGCACAAGCGGCGGAGCAUGUGGAUUAAUUCGAUGCAACGCGAAGAACCUUACCUGGGUUUGACAUGCACAGGACGCGUCUAGAGAUAGGCGUUCCCUUGUGGCCUGUGUGCAGGUGGUGCAUGGCUGUCGUCAGCUCGUGUCGUGAGAUGUUGGGUUAAGUCCCGCAACGAGCGCAACCCUUAUCUUAUGUUGCCAGCGGGUAAUGCCGGGGACUCGUGAGAGACUGCCGGGGUCAACUCGGAGGAAGGUGGGGAUGACGUCAAGUCAUCAUGCCCCUUAUGUCCAGGGCUUCACACAUGCUACAAUGGCCGGAACAAAGGGCUGCGAUGCCCCAAGGUUAAGCGAAUCCUUUUAAAACCGGUCUCAGUUCGGAUCGGGGUCUGCAACUCGACCCCGUGAAGUCGGAGUCGCUAGUAAUCGUAGAUCAGCAACGCUGCGGUGAAUACGUUCCCGGGCCUUGUACACACCGCCCGUCACGUCAUGAAAGUCGGUAACACCCGAAGCCAGUGGCCUAACCCUUGGGAGGGAGCUGUCGAAGGUGGGAUCGGCGAUUGGGACGAAGUCGUAACAAGGUACCGUACCGGAAGGUGCGGCUGGAUCACCUCCUU